GUUCACUUUUGAUGAUUAGGCCGUCGGGGAUACUUGAAAGGAACUCGUUUUUGACGCUAGUUGGCAGCAGGUAGCUUGUUGACCGCGACGGGAAGGGAAGGGUAAAUGUUCUGGUUGCUGGGUUUGCUAGUUGCCAGUGACUCUAUGUAGUUCUUCAGUCCUGAGGAAACCAUUGUGUUUUAACGAUGGGGAGUGAACACUUUUUUAAUAUUAAAUUUGUGGCAGAAGCUGAAAAAUGUCCCGAACUGUACGAUUAUAUGCGUACUGAUUACUCACGAAAGGACAUUACUGAAAGACCCUGGAAGAAAAUUUCGAAAGAAGUUGUAAUGACAGAUGCAGGCAGCCGACUCCAGGGAACACCAGUGCCUCUCAAGAUGAUAUAAAAUAUGAAGGAAUUCUUCUUAACUUGGUUCCAUUUCACUUUAAUAAAAAUAGUUUAUACGGUUA